CAUAAGGGAGCUUGACUGCGAGACCGACAGGUCGAGCAGGUACGAAAGUAGGUCUUAGUGAUCCGGUGGUUCAGCAUGGAAGGGCCAUCGCUCAACGGAUAAAAGGUACGCCGGGGAUAACAGGCUGAUCGCAUCCAAGAGUUCACAUCGACGGGGAGGUUUGGCACCUCGAUGUCGGCUCAUCGCAUCCUGGGGCUGGAGCCGGUCCCAAGGGUUUGGCUGUUCGCCAAUUAAAGCGGUACGUGAGCUGGGUUUAGAACGUCGUGAGACAGUUCGGUCCCUAUCUGCUGUGGGCGUAGGAGAUUUGAGGAGAGCUGCUCCUAGUACGAGAGGACCGGAGUGGACGAACCCCUGGUGUUCCAGUUGUCGCGCCAGCGGCAUCGCUGGGUAGCUAUGUUCGGCAGGGAUAACCGCUGAAAGCAUCUAAGCGGGAAGCCCCCUCCAAGAUAAGAUCUCCCUCCUCUUCGGAGGCUAAAGGGCCCUUGAAGACUACAAGGUUGAUAGGCCGGGAGUGUACGCAUAGUGAUAUGUUUAGCUGACCGGUACUAAUCGCCCGUGAGGCUUGGUCAC
rnacentral:rRNA from 1 species